rnacentral:lncRNA from 1 species
CAAAUGUAACCAGGAGUUCUUUUAUUUUUAUUUGCUAAAUCUGGAAACUCACAAAGGAGGUGGGAUGAUGGCAUUGCCAGCAUCCUCAGGCUACCAACGACACCAGGAACCUUCCCGGCAGCAUCUUAUGCUCCCCCUGACGUGGGCCAGGCCACGACGCCAAAGUGCAGGCCGGCAAAAGCCAGUAUCCUGGGCCAGGAGGACCUCAGGAACCCAGGAUCUGAUCACUACGGCCCUUGGUUUAUGCCGUAUGCUCACGACUGGGCCAGUGUGUUUCUUCUUAUGUGCGUAUGUGUAUAAUAAACCCUGUGAGCCGACCACCAACACGAGAACCACAGCAUCGUCCAUCACUUGCUUCUACUGAGGGCCUGUGCUCUCCCUCACCCAGGCUUGCUGUGACGCCAGCAAGAUGGGUGAGCAGAGGGUCUGCACAGUGAGUGGCGAGCUGGGGUCUGAACCCCAGCCUGUGCAGCUCUGCGGCUGCGCUCCCUUAGCUCUGGGCAGCUGGUGCCCCGAUCAGCUCCAGUGGGCAGGCUGGGUCUGCCUCGCCCAACACAGAAUCACCAGGGGCUGGUGCAUGGAAGGUGCCUAUUUGUUGAGUGAAAUCGUUUCCUGAUGUCUACACAUAUCAGAAU